rnacentral:lncRNA from 1 species
CAUAAAUGGGUCUGAGAUGAUUAAAGCCCUCAUUUGCAAGCAGGAAAAUUUCAUCUCUGCAAUUGUCUCUGGGAUAAAAAGAUCUCCCUCUGGCCCCAACACUUUCUGUUCACAUGCAGAUCCCAAACUGAAUUCAGCACCUAACAGCACAUCAUCUCUUUGGAAGACAGACACCCUCUCAGGAGAAGGAAAGAAAUGGUGUGGUCCUUUAUGGAAGCUUGGAGUACCAAGAAGCUGGUGCCAAAUCCCUGCUUUCCUUCUGAACAGAACAGAUGAAGACAUCUUCAAGCCAGCCGUUACCAUUCAUCCAUCUGUCCUUGGAGCGUGGCAGGGGACUGGGAGCAGGUUUCUGCUUGUACCAGCACCAGCAGCUGAAGUAUCUGUUCCACUUCACUGGAGUAACAAAAGGGCUUACUGGGUUUUGUUUUAAAAAGUAUUUUAUUUUCUUUUUUUUUUUUUACUUCUUGUCAAGCCUAUCGCUUAGUCAGUAUUAAAAGAAAAUGCAGUAACAGCUCUGUUCAGCUGCCAAAACCUAAUCAACACAAAGAAGUUUUCAAGUAGCUGUCAGACAGGAUUAUGAUAUUGAUCCUAACUAUGUGCAUGUUCCAGGAAAAGGAGCAUCUCUUGAACUAAAAGUCAGAGGGUGACAGGUAAUGAAAGAAAAAUAUUUUACAGCUCGAAGGAUGAUUUUGUCCUCACAUUAGGAGAUCUGCCUAAUUACAGCUGAGAGAAAAAGCAGCACCUGUGCAUGUUUUGCUGAUGUCUUACCUUGUACUCUGAACCCCUCAUCUCUUACAAAUUAGCAGGUACUGAGAGAGUCGCAGCAUGAACAUAAGGGUUUGAGAAACAUCCAUGCCAUGAGGGAGUAAUAUGUGUGAUUUAAUGGGUAGCUCUCCCUGUUUGAGACAGUAGUGAAUCAAGAAUUUUAGGAGUUUGUCAAGGAGAGUGACUUUGGGAUCAGAGACAAGCUCAAGGCUAUCCGAAUUUCUGAUCAUUACUGAUCAUAUGACAUUAUUUAUAACACCAGUGAAAUUGACUUCUGGGUCUUACCCCCAAGUGGUGAGACAGGUAACAGUCUGGGUUUGAGUACAGAUAAAAUCAGAUGGGUUUGGAUUCAUCAGGAUAAAUGCAAACUACAGCAGAUAUUUGAAGCAGGACAGGAGAAUCAUAGACUACAGGUCUAAAUGUUGUCCCACUUGUCCCAUGUCUCAAGGUGCAUAAGAUGAAUCCCAUCUACAAGGACUCCAAGUUCUAUGUUCCAACACACGAAAGAAAGGAAGAGCCCUUACUUCUGAGGAGCCCAGAGAUAUACUGGAAAUUCACAGAGAAUCAAAUUCCAUGUUUGUUUAUUUAUCUGUCACCCAUCAUGGUUCAAAAGAGUAACAUCAGUACUCCAACAAGAGGCACAUUUGAGGGAUAAAAUAUGGGGUUUGAGGGAUAAAUCCAAAAAUGAGCUAAUAUAGAUUCAGAUUUAGUUGCUUUCAACUUUGGUUUAAAUUUGUUGGGGCCUUUUUUAUGCAAUAUAAUUACCAUUUUAUGUACAGCGCAAAGAGCCCAAGAAAGGAGCUUUGUGCAGUACUGCCAUAGGCACUGUGAGUAACUGCAGUCCUCUGGACAUCCCCCAGCAAUCCCACCUGUCUUGCCUCCCUACCCACCUGCAUAUCCCUCUCUGCCUGACUCCUGUCACAGAGGGGUAGCCUAUUUUGCCUAGCAACUACCAUGUGAGUGAUAAGACAUAUUAAUAACAAAUAAAUUAUGCUCUAAAUUACA